CGGUUGGGAGGGCUGCGUUUGCGCGGUUCGUUGAGACCCGAGGGUCUCACUCGGCUG
rnacentral:ncRNA from 1 species